AAAGUUGGAAAAAAGGAAAAUUAAAUAGUAGAAAAUAAAAAAUAUAUAUAAGUUUUUUUUUCAUAGUUAAGUUUAGGAGGAAAGAUGAAAAAAUGAAAGAUGAAAAAAUUUUCUUUUCAUCCAUUGCUUGGUAAACUUAAAAAAAAAGGAAAUAAAAUGAAACUUUUGAAAAAUACAUAAUUUUGAACUAAAAUAAUCC
rnacentral:lncRNA from 1 species